rnacentral:misc_RNA from 1 species
GGAUUCUUGAGGUCAAAUUUUAUAAUCAAUCCAUAAACAUAGCACCAUGAACUUUAACAAAACCAUUGAACAUCACGGCCCUAUGAUUUAUGUCUCACCUGGAUUUGGCAAACCAUAUGAGUGAAGAGAUCAAGAAACAGACAUUCUUUACAUAAGCUGAUUCAUAACAGCAAACAUUCCAUAUCAUAUUAUACAAUCUUAGUUUAUACGAAUACAGCGUUGCUGAACAAACAACACAAAAACAGUGCUGAAUACACAAACAUGAAUGGGUACUACAAGGUGGCAAAACUAGGUUGACAACUCAAGCCUAGCUUGCUUAUUUAGGCUACUGCCUGAAUUCACUCAAGUACUAAUAAUAUUCAAUACUUCAUAUGCCACACUAACAUAUUUUAUGAGACAUUGCUGGUCUGCUCAUCAAAGCCAAACCUUUAGUCCUUUACUGCCGAACUAGGCAUUCUUGAUUUCCACUCACCAUGGCACAGUGAGAGCCCUUGUUAAUAGCAUCCACUUCCUCAAGAGAGUUGUUGGCAUUUGCAUCCUCAAGCAAGUCCUGAGCAUCGUUCUCACUGCCUUUAUCCCUGCAGGAAAUGGCUUCAAAGAUGAGAGCCUUCACUUCCUCAAAUCUUGCUUCAGAAAGAGAAACCUCAGCAAGCAGCCUCCAAGCAUUCUCCUCAGAUGCCUCCUCAUAGUCCUUCUUCCUCUUUAACACCAUAUGGCCACUGAUUUCCCACACAGCUGGGUUCACUUGGGUAUCAAGAAGUUCAGGACUCACUUCCCCAAGAGCUUGCUUCUCAGCGUAACACUGUGGCAAAAGAAAGAUGCGCUUUCCACAAUCAGAUAUGAGCACAUUGUAUGGUAUGUUGUUAUCUUGAAGAGAAAUGCAAGCAUCUGAGACGGUGUUGGAUAAGUCUUGCACUGUAUUGCCCCCCUCAAAUAGAAGACCUCUGACAGGGUAAUUCACUAGCUCAUAGAUUUUCACUCCACUGUCCAAAGUGGUUAUCUUCUUAGUGGGUGCCUUCUCAAUGGGAAAUUGCACAGCCAAGUAGUAAGCCUGUUCCAUGGAAAUGAUCAAAUUGAUAUUCCUAAAUAGUACAUAUCUCCAUCUAUCUAAAUAUGAUCAAAUUGUUUUUCCCCCCUAAUCAUCGAUACCCUACUUGUCAAGGAUAUUAUUCAAGUUCAUUUAAGUCGAUGCUAGGAGGGUGCAAACCUGGAAGUGAAGGUGGUUGAUGGUGGCAAAUGCACCCAAGCUGUUGUAACCCAAACGGAACCAUGGAUUCCCAGCUUCAAUGGCCAUGUAAAGAGCAAGCAAGAAGCUCUCACGGUCAAUCCUCUGUGGCAAACACUCCAGAAUACGAGGGAUCAAAAGCACAUGCCCAUACUCAAUAGGGCUAACCUGUAAUGUCAACGAAACAAAAGGCAUAAACCAACUUCCUACAAUCAUAAUGUCCAAAUAAAUAAAAGAACGUUAAUUGUCUAGUACGAGAGCCAUUAACCUACAUUAAUGGCAACCACACUUGGAGAAUUAUCAACAUCAAUUGGGGCACUUGGGAAGAACUGAACAUCACCAUCUUCACUCGAUUCAAACUGGAAAAGGACCUCUUCUUGGCCAACUUUAGUGAAGUUGAAUUUGUUCACAUCAAAGGGCUGAAGAACCUUGUCAACACGGAAUUCAGUUGGCCUCUUCUUUAAGUGGCGGCCCUCAUUCAGCUGGGCAAUGAAACCAUACUCUCCAGGAAUCACCUUGGUUUCACAGGCAGUAACAUCAUAACGAAAUAGCCCUCUCUGCAUACGGUCCUCCCACUCCCCAAGAAGCAGAGAGUCAAGGAAUGCAACAGGAGGCUCGUUGUUCUCAUUUCCAAGCACCUCCUUCUCGCUAACAAUCUUGUUCAGUUUCUUGAAAGCGUACAAAGGGAGCUUUGCCCCUUGAAUGCAACACUUCUGAAGGCAAUUUCGGCCACAGCCCCCACUCCGGCGAGCACCCUCUUCCGCCUCCUCUUUCUGGAAAUUCGACACAACAGUAGGAACCCUCUUGAUCCUUAACAUCAAGCUUUCACUCAUCUUUACUUAAAAUUCCCAACACAAUUAAAUCCCAAUAAACUUGCUUAAUCGAGAUCUAAUACUUCUAAAAGACUCUUAUUUGGCUUACAGCUUACAACUUAAUCUUAUGUAAAUAUAUCCUAAACCUAAUAGACAAAGGAAAGGAGGGAACCGCCACCAGCGAGAAAGAGGAGAUCGGAAGGGCUACCGCCUUCGGAAGGCAAAGCACCACGUCCACCGUGCGGCGAAGGGUUGCUCUCGAUCACACAACCCUUGCGUCGUACAGCCCGGACAUGUAUUAGAGGCCGAGUUACUCCGUAUAUAGCCGUGAUGUCUACAACUUGUCUACCCUGGGUAUUACCCCAAGAAACCUCUCUUUACAAAAACAAAACUCCACCCUUAACACCAAAACACCAAUAGUACACUUGGGUCCCUAAAAAGGAGAAAAAUAAGGCCUGAAACGAAGAAUUCCGGUCACUAAUCUCUGUUUUCUCAAAAAUCUGAUGUGGGUAUUAGAUUGCAGGAAGAAGGAAGGAAACUGGAGAUGUGGGUAUAGGCACAAUUGGAGUAAAAUUUGAGCGAUGGGAGAUGAGUGGAGGAGAGGAAGAGUUGUUAUAUAGAUAAGAGGAAGGUGGUAGUUGUGGCUGUAAUUGCCGUAAGGUGUGUCGUAAAGGUAGUGAUGCAAAUAUUGAAACUUGAAAAUGAUUUUAAGAGAGAGAGGGGGUGCAAUGUGUCGAGCCUUCUGGUUCGGCCGUUAAGCCCUAUAGGGUUGGCCGGAGAGGGACCACGAAGGACGUACCUAUGGGCACCCUCUUGCUUGGCCUUAUUCCCUCCAUUUUUUU